AUUGAACGCUGGCGGCAUGCUUUACACAUGCAAGUCGAACGGUAACAGGCCGCAAGGUGCUGACGAGUGGCGAACGGGUGAGUAAUGCAUCGGAACGUGCCCAGUCGUGGGGGAUAACUACUCGAAAGAGUAGCUAAUACCGCAUACGAUCUAUGGAUGACAGCGGGGGACCGUAAGGCCUCGCGCGAUUGGGGCGGCCGAUGUCAGAUUAGGUAGUUGGUGGGGUAAAGGCUCACCAAGGCAACGAUCUGUAGCUGGUCUGAGAGGACGACCAGCCACACUGGGACUGAGACACGGCCCAGACUCCUACGGGAGGCAGCAGUGGGGAAUUUUGGACAAUGGGCGCAAGCCUGAUCCAGCAAUGCCGCGUGCAGGAAGAAGGCCUUCGGGUUGUAAACUGCUUUUGUACGGAACGAAACGGCUCUGGUUAAUACCCGGGGCUAAUGACGGUACCGUAAGAAUAAGCACCGGCUAACUACGUG
rnacentral:rRNA from 1 species